rnacentral:rRNA from 1 species
CCCUUAGAUGUUCUGGGCCGCACGCGUGCUACACUGACCGGCGCAACAAGUUUCUUUCCUUGGCUCGAUAGGCCUGGGUAAUCUUUGAACGCCGGUCGUGAUGGGGAUAGAUCCUUGCAAUUUUUGAUCUUCAACGAGGAAUUCCUAGUAAAUGCGAGUCAUCAUCUCGCGUUGAUUACGUCCCUGCCCUUUGUACACACCGCCCGUCGCACCUACCGAUUGAAUGGUCCGGUGAAGGCUUCGGAGGCGGCUUUCUCAAUGUUUAUUCGGCGAGACUGCUGCCAAAGUUGAAUGAACCUUACCAUUUAGAGGAAGGUGAAGUCGUAACA